UACGUAGGGUGCGAGCGUUAAUCGGAAUUACUGGGCGUAAAGCGUGCGCAGGCGGCUAUUUAAGCUUGCUGUGAAAGCCCCGGGCUUAACCUGGGAAUGGCAGUGAGGACUGGAUGGCUGGAGUGUGGCAGAGGGGGGUGGAAUUCCACGUGUAGCAGUGAAAUGCGUAGAUAUCUGCAGGAACACCCGUGGCGAAAGCGGCGCGCUGGACCACUACUGACGCUGAGGAACGAAAGCUAGGGGAGCAAACAGG
rnacentral:rRNA from 1 species